rnacentral:rRNA from 1 species
AUGAACGCUGGCGGCGUGCCUAAUACAUGCCGGUCGAGCGAACGGACGAGAAGUUUGCUUCUCUGAUGUUAGCGGCGGACGGGUGAGUAACACGUGGAUAACCUACCUAUAAGACUGGGAUAACUUCGGGAAACCGGAGCUAAUACCGGAUAAUAUUUUGAACCGCAUGGUUCAAAAGUGAAAGACGGUCUUGCUGUCACUUAUAGAUGGAUCCGCGCUGCAUUAGCUAGUUGGUAAGGUAACGGCUUACCAAGGCAACGAUGCAUAGCCGACCUGAGAGGGUGAUCGGCCACACUGGAACUGAGACACGGUCCAGACUCCUACGGGAGGCAGCAGUAGGGAAUCUUCCGCAAUGGGCGAAAGCCUGACGGAGCAACGCCGCGUGAGUGAUGAAGGUCUUCGGAUCGUAAAACUCUGUUAUUAGGGAAGAACAUAUGUGUAAGUAACUGUGCACAUCUUGACGGUACCUAAUCAGAAAGCCACGGCUAACUACGUG